rnacentral:rRNA from 1 species
GACGAACGCUGGCGGCGCGCUUAACACAUGCAAGUCGAACGGAAAGGCCUGCUUUCCCUUGUGGAUUGCGGGUACUCGAGUGGCGAACGGGUGAGUAACACGUGAGUGAUCUGCCCCCAACUUGGGUAUAAGCCUGGGAAACUGUGUCUAAUUCCCGAUAGGACUGCAGGGUGGUGCCUGUGGUGGAAAACGAUUUUCUAGUGGUUGGGGAUGAGCUCGCGGCCUAUCAGCUUGUUGGUGGGGUAAUGGCCUACCAAGGCGGCGACGGGUAGCCGGCCUGAGAGGGUGGACGGCCACAUUGGGACUGAGAUACGGCCCAGACUCCUACGGGAGGCAGCAGUGGGGAAUAUUACACAAUGGGCGGAAGCCUGAUGCAGCGACGCCGCGUGGGGGAUGACGGCCUUCGGGUUGUAAACUCCUUUCGACCGCGAGGAAGCCACCUGGUUGGAAGGGUGGUGACGGUAGUGGUAGAAGAAGCACCGGCUAACUACGUG